rnacentral:rRNA from 1 species
UGAGGUGCUAUCAUGCAGUCGAGCGAACAGAUAAGGAGCUUGCUCCUUUGACGUUAGCGGCGGACGGGUGAGUAACACGUGGGUAACCUACCUAUAAGACUGGGAUAACUUCGGGAAACCGGAGCUAAUACCGGAUAAUAUUUCGAACCGCAUGGUUCGAUAGUGAAAGAUGGUUUUGCUAUCACUUAUAGAUGGACCCGCGCCGUAUUAGCUAGUUGGUAAGGUAACGGCUUACCAAGGCAACGAUACGUAGCCGACCUGAGAGGGUGAUCGGCCACACUGGAACUGAGACACGGUCCAGACUCCUACGGGAGGCAGCAGUAGGGAAUCUUCCGCAAUGGGCGAAAGCCUGACGGAGCAACGCCGCGUGAGUGAUGAAGGUCUUCGGAUCGUAAAACUCUGUUAUUAGGGAAGAACAUACGUGUAAGUAACUAUGCACGUCUUGACGGUACCUAAUCAGAAAGCCACGGCUAACUACGUGCCAGCAGCCGCGGUAAUACGUAGGUGGCAAGCGUUAUCCGGAAUUAUUGGGCGUAAAGCGCGCGUAGGCGGUUUUUUAAGUCUGAUGUGAAAGCCCACGGCUCAACCGUGGAGGUCAUUGGAAACUGGAAAACUUGAGUGCAGAAGAGGAAAGUGGAAUUCCAUGUGUAGCGGUGAAAUGCGCAGAGAUAUGGAGGAACACCAGUGGCGAAGGCGACUUUCUGGUCUGUAACUGACGCUGAUGUGCGAAAGCGUGGGGAUCAAACAGGAUUAGAUACCCUGGUAGUCCACGCCGUAAACGAUGAGUGCUAAGUGUUAGGGGGUUUCCGCCCCUUAGUGCUGCAGCUAACGCAUUAAGCACUCCGCCUGGGGAGUACGACCGCAAGGUUGAAACUCAAGGAAUUGACGGGGACCCGCACAAGCGGUGGAGCAUGUGGUUUAAUUCGAAGCAACGCGAAGACCUUACCAAAUCUUGACAUCCUUUGACCGCUCUAGAGAUAGAGUUUUCCCCUUCCGGAGGACAAAGUGACAGGUGGUGCAUGCUGUCGUCAGCUCGUGUCGUGAGAUGUUGGAUUUAGUCCCGCAACGAGCGCACCUUUAACCUUAGUUGGCAGCAUUCAGUUGGCACUCUAAGCUGAACUGUCGGUGACACCCGGAAAGAAGGGUGGGAAUGGAACAG